rnacentral:rRNA from 1 species
UACGUAGGGGGCAAGCGUUGUCCGGAAUCAUUGGGCGUAAAGCGCGUGUAGGCGGCCAGAUAAGUCCGUUCUGAAAGCCCGGGGCUCAACCCCGGGAGGCGGAUGGAUACUGUUUGGCUCGAGUCCGGAAGAGGCGAGUGGAAUUCCCGGUGUAGCGGUGAAAUGCGCAGAUAUCGGGAGGAACACCAAUGGCGAAGGCAGCUCGCUGGGAAGGUACUGACGCUGAGACGCGAAAGCGUGGGGAGCAAACGGA